rnacentral:tRNA from 1 species
AAGGGUAUAGCUCAGUGCUAGAGUGCGUGCUUAGCGUGCAUGAGGUCCUGAGUUCAAUCCCCAGUCCCUCCA